GUUUAGCUCCUUUCCUUUAUCAUCUUCCAUAUCAUUAAAUCCUUAUUAUUCACAAUGUCAAUAUUAUGACACUGUUGUCAUGUUCCUUUUUCACUAUCAACUUGUUUGUUCUUUCAAUGGUUUUUAACCUUCCUUCUUAUUAUAUUCACACGUAAAAAUAUACACAUUCCAAGCAAUUACUCGCAGGCUUAAUGUGCAUUCCUGACACGCUGUCAUUAUCUGCCACCGGCUUCCGCAAUUGGCAAAGCGUCGAUCGAUAGCCCGGAAAUCCAGUCGUCGAGAAAACGACGGAAUAAUAACAAGUAUUUUAUUUUAUAUCUCGAUUCUGAGCGCGUGCACGACAUAGCUAGAAUUUACGUAUUAUUAAGUCGCGUCUACGUUCGCAAUAAACUCGAGUAACGCAACGUAAAUAAUGUUACGCGUAACACAUAGAAAGCCGAAUCUUGUCGCGUUACAAACAUUUAUACAUUUCGUAGAGAAAUCUUUCAUUUUAUUUUCAAGCUCAAUAACCAACUCGUGUUUAUACUGUGCGUUACAUUCACACUGACGCAUGAUAACAUUGAAACCGAGCCGAUCGCGUUACGCGGGUUUAUUACAAAUAAAGACGCGGCUUUAGAAACGACGAGACACAACUAAGCUGUUAAAAGAAAUUGUCUCUUUCGCUAGCUCUAGUUUUUUUUUUCUUUCUAAUUACUCUUGACGAUCGUCGAGACUUGGUCCCAACCGCAAUGGUGAGUUUUCUCAUGUCACUCUGGAUCCACUAAUAACGAUCGAUCAUCGACUCGAAAUUCCGGCCGUUUAUCAGUCUCGCGACACAGGCUAUGUUAUUUUUCAAAAUUUCGUUAACAAAUAAAACGGAAAUUUGACUUAAUUUUUAAAUUUCCGGUUAGCUCGAAAAUCAAAUUUGAAAUAGCCAAUCACGUUUCGAGCCAGUCGAUUAUCGAUAAGAUCGAUCUAAAAGGAAUAUUCGCGGAAAAUAAGAGCGAUUUCAAAUAUCAAUACUACAUUUUGUUAAACGAUUGAAUUGAGAACAAGAAAGUAAGAAACAAAAAGUUGUAUUACUUUAAAGUUUUAAUAGUUACAAAGCUGAGCUCCUUCUUUUUAUCGAUAAUCGAUAAUCGCGGACGUAAAAACGGCGGGAAGGAUGCACAGAACAAUGAUUUGCCUAAUGGCCGCAAGGAUAAUGACGAAGGCGCGACAGUGUCGGCGAGAUUGAAUGUUUACAGAAAAUUAUAUCUUAUAUCUCAUAAGUAACAUUGUACUUUAAUUACUGAAAUAAACGACAAGAUUCUAACAACGAGGCGAAUAAAGUCGCUAGAUGUGUAAAAUAUAAUUAUCUUGAUAGAUCCGCAUAGUUUAAAUACAAGUAUCGACGCGUCUAAAGUAGCCUUUGUCCAAGAAAGUUCGUCACGGCCCUACGAAAUCUUCCCUACCCCCUGUCUAAAAGAAAUUCGUCGCUGCUUCGAGCGAUGACGAUCGAUCUAGCAGUAAGAUAUUGCAGCGUAUCGAUCGCUAGUAUCGAUUUUCGAAUCGUCUUGCAUCUCUCUCUCUCUUUUUUUUUUUUUAUUGCUUAUGUUAUAAGGACGCGAUUAACGCUGUUCAACUUUUCGUUAUUAAACGUAAAGUUGUUUUCUCUGACAACGUGAGCCGAAUUUUUCCUAAUUUUCCAGACGAAUUCAGUGAUCGAUUAAAGGUAACCCCUUUUAAGUCAAUGUACAAUACUUUUAGGAUUAAGAAAAAUGUCGACGCACGAUGUUCAAGAUGCAACGCGAUUAUCGAACAAUGGCGGGGCGCGAAACCAAGAGAAAUUGCAGCGUACGUUUAAAUGCCAGCACGAAAGGUGUCAAUAACCGGCUCCUCGAUAUUGCGGGCAGUGGCACGUUUCGGUCUUAUGGUACAUCGGCAAGGCCAGAUUGAAAAUGAAACGUUUGUGGAUAUGCGGUGUCAACGAUGACAGAACGAAGAACAAAGGUAUUUAUUUCGUUAUAGACGAAAAGUAUUACUGCAAUUAUUCUGACAAUGAGAAUGAUUUAUAAUGUAAAAUUUCUGUCUGCGCAUGCUCCACAAAUCUCACUCGCGCACGCACUCACCACACACGCUGCUCGCACGCAUACAAGAUUAAUUCCUUCGCCGCCAUUUCAAAUAAUCUAUGAACUGAAUAAUAAAUUACAUGGGACACAAAACAUGAGCAAAAGAAUUAAUCCUACAAUCUGGAAAUACCGAUUAUACUUCGAUUAGCGACGAGGGCGUUUUCAAUGCGAGAAAGUCUGCGAUCAGAGGACCUAAGAUCGCGCUCCCUUUCGCCGCCUAUUUUAAACUCAUUGGACAGCGACGAGGUUACUUUACAAGGUUAUACAAGUGUGUUAAUUCACCUUCAGAAAAAAAAAACGGUAAAAAGAAAGAACAAUUUCUUUGACUUCUACACUCGCAUACAAUCAAACACACAGUAACAUGUUUCGGUUUAACAAUUGCAGAAAAAAUAUAAUGAUCUUGUUGCAGGGGAACGAGUGAAGUCACUGUGCUUUAUUCAACACCUUACCUACCGGAACAGGAAUGAAUAAUCUCUUGAUUAUUACAGAUUCACCUAUAACUCAAUUGAAAUAAUAAAAUUCUGGUAUACUACUCCAGUGAAGAGGAAUUCUAAGUAAGGGUUACACCUUUCAAUAUAUGGUUACAAGCUGGUAGUGAUUAUCUAUUUGAUUUGUAGGCAGUAGGUAUGGUGUUAAAGUUUCCACUUGAAAGAAAAGUCAUGUUGAAAAAUACCAGCACAAAAAAAGCCCCAAUGAUCGCUAAUCGAUAAAAAGGCUCAAAGCUUAGAUGUAUAUGUGUGUAUAUAUAUAUAUAUAUAUAAUAUAUUUACAUUAUGUGAAGACAGGUCGACCUCGUGUCGAAAUCUAUAAUCGGUUCGAAGCAUGAGACGUUAAACGAUACUACGAAUCGGUGCAAUAUCAUACCGCUGCACGAACGGUUUUCACUUUCACGGUAAAUGUAUUUUUUUUUGAACACCAUUAGUCCUCUUCUUUUUUUCAUCCAUCUUCGUUCUUCUUUUAGGUUCUUGCUCGUAGCAUUGUCGAGAGAAAGCGAAGAAUCUAUAGAUACAGAUGUCCCGGCAGAGCAGCUGAUAGGAUUCACAUCGGUGAGAGUAGUCGUCGCGAGGGACGGGACGUGUGACGAGUCGAUUAUUUUAUAGAGUUCACUCGGAUGAUCGGUGCGAUCUUGACGGCGGGCAAAAAAUCAACGUAAAAAGGUACAACGAGGAUGAUGAUGGGGUGAGAUAACGGCAAUAACGAUAACAGUGUGGUACCGAGCAUGCAGAUAUCGUAACAGCAAGAUAUCGUUAAUGUGUGUUCUUGUGUUUAUGUAUUUUUUUUUUUUUUUUUAAUUUGCUUAUCCUCCUUUUAAAACAUUUCUCUUUUUUUUGUUCUCACUUGUAAAAGUUACUUAUAUACUGUAUAUACCUAUUAAAUGAAUGAGCGUACGCGAUGUACGACCAUAACUUUUAUUUUAGCCGCGACACUAAUUAUUUUCUCUCGAUACUUCAAUUUUUUUUUCUUUUUAAACGUUUAUCAUCUACUUUCCUCCUCGUUUUUUUUUUUUGCCUCUGACAUUUUCUUUGUUAAUAUAUCGUAGAUGCAUCAAUUGGAACCGUCGUUUGCGACAAUUCGCACCUUCGCGGGACGCGACCGUGUCUAUCAAAGCCUACGUGAAAUUAGUAGCGGUCUUUUUUUUGUGUUUUUUUUUUUUUAAUUAAAUUCUCAUGAGACUAAGCUUUAACAGAAUAGAGAGAUCACCGCUCGGAUUACAAGAAAAAUGAAGAUGGAUGAAAGAGAAAUAGAGAAGUGCAUGGGAUCUUUUUGAAAACAAAAAUCUAAGUAAAUAAAAUGGCAGUGAGAUCAACAAAGAAAGGGAAAUAGAGAAGAAAGGAAAAUUUAAAAGGAUGAUAUCUAGAGAGGAGGAACGAUGAUUUAAAACGACCAAUGAAGACGAUAGUAUAUAUCACGAUGACUGCGAGGACGACGACGACGUCGACGACGAUGGCAUCGUUGUAUGUGUACCGUACAGGUAUCCGUAAGAACAGCGCGUCUUUAUAAUUGGCAGUGUAAGGCAUAUAGAGUGCUUAAGACUAGAAUACGGUGCAGUAAAUAGGCCUCUUAAAAGCCUGUUCAAACUAAGUCCUACAUGUUUAAACGGACCCUACGAAAAAAUCUGUGUCCGCGUAACGCAACGACGAAUUACGAAUUUCCGUGACACCAAAGGCGCGCGCGUACAAAGGAAAUCAUUUAUCUUUCGAAUGGAUCGAUUUCCUUUGUCGCGACACGUACAAACGAAUCAUAAUGCUACUUCUGUCGAAUAAAAAACUGGCUACUGACUUCAUGGAGACGUUGGUAAACACGCGUCACGUUGUCUUUUUUGGAUUUUAUUUGGCAGCGGUUCUUAAAAACGUACAACUUAUUUAUACCGGCAUUUGCAAUGCGAUUCGGGGUCCGUAGACGUAACUGCCCUUUAAAGGCCCGUUCUCGAACGACGUAUUAUACAUAUCUCUUAACACGUUGCGACCGAAGCUGGUAGAUCUACGGUACUGUAAAACAAACUGUAACUGCCGACAGCGUAGAUCUACAACUUUUAGACAUAUCAUCCCGGGCUCAACGUGUCAAGACCGCGAACGCGUCACCGCAAUCGAACAGCAUUGGAUAACAGAGAAAAUCGUUCAAACAGGCGCGCUUCGUUCUCGAUUGAAAUCGACAGGUCCUGAGAAUAAUUACAGUAUAGCCACACGAAUAAUGGAAGAAAAUAAUGAAAGAUUAGUAUGGCCAGACACGUUUUCUCAUUCCUUUGCACAGUGUGUACGGAUAACUGAAUUUAAUAAAAAAAAUAAGAAAAAAAAAUAAAAUAAAAUAGGUGACUCGUCGAAAAAAUUGUUCCUUUUUUGUUGGUAGAUCGUAGCUAUAUAUUUAUUACUAAAAGUACAUGCGGGUUUUCGUACCGUGGCGUGAUUACGUCUUUACUAUCAGGAUCUUUGUAUCAAUUUAAGCGUAAUAAUGGCAAUGUCGUGGCAACCAUUUUCCCUUCUAUAUGCUUCGCUUAUUAUUUUUCAUUUUUCUUUUU